AUUGAACGCUGGCGGCAGGCCUAACACAUGCAAGUCGAGCGGAGCGGCGGAAGGGUGAGGAAUGCCUAGGAAUCUGCCUGGGAGUGGGGGAUAACGUCCGGAAACGGGCGCUAAUACCGCAGACUAUCACAUGAGCCUAGGCCGGAUUAGCUAGUUGGUGGGGGUAAGGCCUACCAAGGCGACGAUCCGUAACUGGUCUGAGAGGAUGAUCAGUCACACUGGAACUGAGAAAUGGUCCAGACUCCGACGGGAGGCAGCAGUGGGGAAUAUUGGACAAUGGGGGAAAGCCUGAUCCAGACAUGCCGCGUGUGUGAAGAAGGUCUUCGGUUUGUAAAGCACUUUAAGUUGGGAGGCGUUACCAACAGAAUAAGCACCGGCUAACUUCGUGCCAGCAGCCGCGGUAAUCC
rnacentral:rRNA from 1 species